rnacentral:rRNA from 1 species
UAGGGAAUCUUCGGCAAUGGGGGCAACCCUGACCGAGCAACGCCGCGUGAGUGAAGAAGGUUUUCGGAUCGUAAAGCUCUGUUGUAAGAGAAGAACGUGUGUGAGAAUGGAAAGUUCACACAGUGACGGUAACUUACCAGAAAGGGACGGCUAACUACGUGCUAG